AGACCAUGGAAGUCAUUUCUUCUCGAAACUUUACAUAUGAGUAUAACAUGAUCAUAUUAGUUACAGAAAAGUUUCGGAAAUGUUUGACUUUUUUAUAUUUAGAAAAAAAAUCAAUUAGGGUGCGCCUAGACCCAGGUUCAUUUGGGUAUCUUUGGUCCCAAUCUGCAUUAGCAGUAAACACUACGUAUGACUAUGCGACUUACUUCCACUAAAAAAAAGACUGAGACUUACUACAAAUUGCCCAUUAGUCCUUUCCUCUUCAUGACUCUCAUUUUCCAUUGUCCAUGGUCUACAUACCCCACGUUCCUCUCGAGGACCAAGUUUUCUUAGGAAAGCUUCACAAAUUAUAGCUCAUCUCAAGUGGUAUGCCUUGUGGUGCUCUAUAACCUCAGAUCACGCUAGUGUAACUAAUUAACCCCUUCUUCCGUCCCCUGUUUCAGUAAGAACACGUCCAAGGAGAUCCUUGAUUCGGCGGACAAGCAGCAGCAGGAGCGGGUGGAAGUGGGCAAUAAGACGCUGCUGGUCUAUGAACAUCUCGUCCCAGGGACGGGUUCCCUUCCAUCUCUACGUGGUGGUGGGAACAACUUGAACUACGCCUGUUUCCACGACUCAAAGAGCGAGGUCAGAGGACACUGUGUUGUCGCGCGAAGGGGUGAGAAAACCGCUAGAGCAGUCGUCAACUUCCUCAACAGAUGCAACCAUCCCAACCUUCUGUUGCCUGGCGGAGUCUGGGAGGUCUACAAGGACAAAAACAAGUACUCGUCAUGCAUCGCCUUCCAACUGGUUGAUGGCACACUCAGCGAGCUUCCUAAAGCCGAGCUGUUCAACAUCGUGCAGCAGGCAGGUGUGAAAAAAACGCACUUGGAGGGAUUCUCACACAAUGGCCUCAAAGUUUGGAGUGAUCUGGUGAAUGCGGUGCAGCAUGUGAAUGAGAAGUAUGCGGAGGACCCACCACACCCGCUGAAACUCGACCGGCACAGCAUCCUCUAUCGGAGCAUUCCAACAGGAGAGUAUCAUGUGCUGAUUGGAGACUUCGAUGUGAACAAAGACGCAUACAGCACGUUGAAACUGU